AAAAAAACGAUGCGUAGAAGAGUAGUUUUCAUGAUAAUUUGAAGAGAGCCUUGAAAUGGUGCGAUAAGGCAAUUAGAUUGAAAAUGAAAGUAGUCUACAAGUUGUAACUAUGAUUUCAAUUGUAGUAGUUACUGGGAAUGCGCCCAUUACCGCAAUGGAGUAUCGCUUAAGCCGGACCGGUCUUUCUUGAGCCGUACUUUUCGAGCUAGUUAUUGCGAAAUAACUAGGAAUAAAGGUGGUAACACGUGAAAAACGUCCUUAGC
rnacentral:ncRNA from 1 species